rnacentral:lncRNA from 1 species
AAAAAAAGAAGUGCCUGUUAUUGGACUAUGUAGAAACUUGAAAAUUUGAGGUGUUUCCUUUUCAUAUAAUUUAUGCUAUUAAAAUGAGUGGACCAGUCUUUCAGCAUUCUAUUCUCUUCUUAGUUUCUAAACCUACUCACAUAACGGCUCAUUGAGUGAAAUUAUAUUUAUUUUCAUUCUGAUACUAUCAGUCUAUUUUAAAAGUAGUGUAAAAUGAUCUCCAUACCUUCCCUCUGAUUUCAGGCACCUGAGUUUCCUGAACAAUGGUUUUGCUGGUGAAAACUGAGGGAAAGGAGACCUUCAUUACCUCAACCUUUUCCAUGUCAAUUAUCAUUAUUCACUUUGUCCUGCUCAGCAGAUUACCUACGUUUUCUCUAGUCAUCCUAUUGCUGCUUAUCUUGUAAAUGCUUGCAAAAUCCCCCCUUGUUGCCUUCCACAUACUUUGCUAGAUUGAACUCUAAGCUAGCUUUAGCUUUUCAAAUUCUAUCCCAGCAAGAGUGGAUAUAGCAGCUCUGGACUCCUCCUUGAUCACCUGCCCAUGCUUCUACCUCUUGUGCACUUCCUUUUUAUGUAUGAAUUCAGACAGAAACACUAUGUUCAUCCAUGAAGGCCUCCUGCCACCAUUAUUUGAUUUCUUGCUUGGCAAGGUGGAUGUCUGUUGAGCUUGUAUAAUGGCAUCCUUAAAUAUAAACCAAUUUUCUUGGACAUUCUCUCUAGGGAUGUAUCACAUGAAAUUCUUAUAAGCAGAUUCCUGAAGUUAUUUACAUCUUUUCUCCUUAAAUCCAGGGUUGCUUUUUGCCCCAUUCCGUUCUCUUAGGAUCUGGAACUCCAUCAUCUCGUGGUCAUGGUAGCCAAGCCUGCCCCAAACUUUCAUGUUACUGCCCAGUUCUUCCUUUUCUUAUUUGUAAGUGUCAGGUCCAGCAGAGCACUUUUUCUUGUUGAUUUCUCAAUUACCUGUGCCACGAAGCUGUCAUCAAUGCAGUUAAAAAAUCUGGAUUUUUUUUUUACCCCUGCUGUAAUGUCCUCCUAGCAGAUGUCAGGUUAGCUGAAGCCACGGUAAGGACCAAGGCCUCAUGCAAACUUAGGACUUUAUCCAGUUGUUUGAACAAGGCCUCACAUCUUCCUUAUCAGGAGAUCUAUAGCAGAUGCCCACUGUAGUGAUGCCGGUCUACCUACUAAACUUCACCAAAAGCUCUCAGCUGAUACUUUUCCCAUCCCAAGGAGGAGUUCCAUCCAUUCCAGCUCAUCUCAUACAUAAGAGAUCAACUUACUGUCCUUGCCUUCCCUGCCUGUCCUUAAAUGCCCUCCAUCACAGCAUCCCAGUCAUGUCAACCAUCCCAUGACAUCUUUAUGAUAACAAUGAAGUUAUUGCUUUGUAAUUUCGCACACUCCAGGCUGCAUGUACAGGUGUAGAGGCAUUGCAAAGAGCCAUCCAACCAUUCUGAUUUCUCAGUAUAGGUUUGAGAACUUCCCAAUAAGGCCAUUCUCCAGGCAUUUCCUACUUUACAUGCCAACACUGAAACAAAUUUCAAUUCUGUUCUGUUUAUUUGUUGAUUGCUAUGUGUCUCACUUUCCCAUCAGCCAAGGCUCUUGGUUUACUUACCCUAUGCCCAUUUUACUUGCACUUGUUUUGAGGAGUUGCUACUUCCAUCAUUGUAUCUCAGUAUUGCUGUGGGAAAAAUGGGCCUCCGCAAAUGCCUAAGUUUAUCUGGGGCUGUGAAACAGAUUUUGGGAAAUAGUUAAUGCAUUGUGAGUAAUCUAUUUGAAAAAUGAGAAACUGUAGAAAGUAACACACGAAUCCUUUUAUCUGAAACUUCAGCAGGGUAUAAAUAUUCUUACUGUAUCAUUGCUCAGUAAAUAAAAAAUGAUAAACAUUAAUAGAAAGUAGGUUUAAAGAAACUGUGAUAGUGUUUGCUUGUACUUGACUCUUUCUAAACCACCUGCAGUAGAUUUCUGCUCCUUAAAUUUUGUUUUAAACUGCAAACUCAAAAAUAUACCCUGAGCUUAAGAGAGUGGAAAUUCUCUUAAAAUUAGAUCACAGGAAAAAGAAUCUGAAUCAUUAAAUGAUACUGCCUGUAACAAAAAAGGAAAACCAGAAUCUAAUUAUGCAGUGUUGCAGACCUUUAAAAGCUGAAAGCUGAAGCUGAAUUUUAGUUAACUGAAAAUGUCUUUUGAAUUUGAAGUGAACCAAGUAACAACUCUCAGCACAAAUAUAUGAAUUUUUAAUAAACUCGUCUCUCAGUUCUUAUCAUGUUCUGUGCUCAGUGCACACAUAGACUUCUAGGACUUACAUAUAAAUAUCAAGGGGAUAUUAAUUCCAAAACCUACAUGGAUAUAUUGAUUUCUUUCAUGUUAUUGAGAUUAAUAGUUCAAAUGAUUAAUCUUUUGGUGUGUAUUUAAGAUAAAACAUUAUCAGAAAACAUCCAUUUAUGUGGUAAAAUCAACAAAGAGAAAUGUCAACAGAAAAAAAAGUGGAAUGGGAAAAUCAUAAUAAAAUGAAGACAUAAUUGGCUGAAGAAAUUUAAAGUUAUUUUGAUAAGAGAGACUACUAGAGAAACUAAAAUAUUUAUGCUAUUUGACAAUCUGCUGUUUCUCAAAGUUUUAUUCCUAAUUAUUCAUAAUGCAAAGCUAUUUACAGAAAACAUAUUUUUGAUUUAAUCUUUCUGUAUUUUUUGUCCAAGUCACUGUAUGUCUUAAAAGAUCUUAUGAUAUAUGAGAACUUCAGGUGCAUGUGUUUUAGUUGCUUAAGGGUUUAAAAUCUGCUGGUAAGGUGCACAGUAUAGGAGGUUAUAGUGAUGUAUGAAAAACAGAUGUAGCAGAGCAGUGAAACGGUACUGAAGAUAGCUAAAAUACAUGUCAGCAAACCUGGAUAUGGAAAAGCCAGUUUAAAUCAUUGAUAUCCCUCAAUGUGACUACAGCUUCACUGUGUAGCAGAAUUAAUGGGACUUUGCAAGUUCCUUCUGCGUAGAUAUUUUCAUUACAAUGAAAUCCUGUAAUGUUCAAAAGUAGUACUGCUAUGUUUAGAGUUUUCCAGAUAUUAUGAUCUGUGUCUUCCUUUGUUCUGAAUUAUCCUUAUUAUUACUGCAUCGCUAGUAUAAAGAUGUCAGGAAACAAAGCUCUAUAUUCUUUCUUCCAUCUCAUUGCUGCUUGACUUUGAAAAAGUCAUUUAAUACUUUGGAUGAAAAUUUUGAAGAAGUAUCUGAAGUUUGGCUCCUACAUAUUCCAGUGCUGAUGGCAUAUUUUUAGAGACACCAAGUGCAACUGUUUGCUUUGUUGUCUCAGUGGAAAAAUUUCACCAAAAAGCCUGUUUUCUAAAAUUCUCAGAGGAGUAUCUUGUCCUCCCAGUGAAGGACUUCAAAUGCAAUUCUUAGAAACACUCCUUUGGUGGAAAAUUUGGGAAGAUUUCAAAUAUAUAUAUAGUCAUGGGCACAUUUAAAGAAUAUGUUAGCCUAAUGGAAAUGAUUUUUCCAAUUGCAAAAGUUUGGGGUAUUUUUUACUGUGUCUGCAGUUUUUAUCAGUCCAACAAAAGUGGACUGCAUACUCUUUCUUGGUUACAAUUUUCUCUCAUAUGAAUAGAACUAUGCAAGUAAUAUCAACAUUAUUACUGUGCACUUUAUACUUGGAUAAUUUCAAAAUUCUUGCGUGCUUCACUGUGUUGCCUUCUGCGUGGAAUGUCUGAAAGAAAGAAAAGUAGGACAUAGAGAAAUACAACACAUUUCCUGCUUUUCUGUCUUUCUUAAUGCAGGUUCAACUUGAUGAAAACCAACAACACAGUAACCUUGUUACUCAUCUUCAGCCAAGUAACAUUUUAUACAGACACAAAAUUAAUUGUGUAUGGAAAUGUGAAUACUGUAAAAAUGGUACAGUAAAUGGAGUGCUAGCAUGUCAUAUAUACAGUCAUUUAAAUUAAACCCUGAGGUUUUAACCAUACUUAGAAUAGUGUUUUAGGGUUAUUACCUGUUAGACAGGUAGUAGUCUCCCAUUAUCUAUAAUUAAGAGAACAUAAUUUAUAACAAAUAGUGUUAAUUCUCCUCUUCAGUCUGCGGUCAGCAGAAUACUGAGACAAAUAGUUCCAAUAUUCCGACACUUUACUCUAAUAGAUAUUAUCCUCAGGUCAUUUCCUAGUCCAGUGUUAGAUAUUUUGAUACUCUCAAAAAUAGAAUAAAAAAGUGAAUUUGCAUCAGCAUCCAUCACAAGCUUCAUUCUUAAUUAGGCAUUCUAGUGAAUUCAGUUAACAGAGAAGGCACUUAAGGCAGAAGAUAUCUUAAACUGUGCACCAUUUAAUGUACAGAAAUAGAAAAAAUAUGAUUUAUAAUACAUAGAUUAUGAAUAACAUUAUAUUGAUGAGUGUUGUUGAAUGCUAUGCUUGUAAGUUUUUGAAUGGUUAGAAGGAAUAAAUAAAAGUUAUCAGUAUCUCAAAUUUUGCAGACUAGUCUUUCCACUAUACAUACUGUAUUUCUGGAAAAGCUGUAACAUGCAUUCACUCUUUCUCCUCUUUUAUUUCUGAAUGUUUGAAAUCCUAUUCCAUUAUUGCUGAAAGUGUUACAGAACUGCAACUUAUGCACAAAUACCUCAGCUGACUUCAGUGUAUUUGUUUACAUCACUGGACAUUCUUCCUUAGCAGCAGCAUUUAACCUUCACUACAGUGAUUUUUUUUUUUUUUUUUUUUCUGCAGCAAUCUCUGUGACUCAGCACUGAUAAAUGCAAAAUGUUUGCAGGCAAACAGAAAAACUCUAGAGCACAUUUGCCUGGUAUUUAUGCAGUUGCUUCCUGAGGGUGAUGGCAAAUAUGAGAAAAAUAGGAAAUCUAUCUUUUUCCUUUUAUAAAUGUGAUUUCUGUGUUUCAGAAUCCUGCCAAAUGUUGUUCUCAAUCAGUCUUAAGGUGAAACAUGAAAACUUGACUCUUUUUCAGAAAUCAAAAUAUGUUAAGAUCCUGGCCUAGCCUAUGACAUGUUCAGGUUCUAUUAAUCUAAAAGACAAUCACAUUCAGGAGUCCCUGAUAUUAAUUGUAGAAAAAUAAUUACUUUUGUAUUACUUGGAAUGUUAUCAUUACUGUCUUCUGGAAAAAUUAACACAAUGUAACUUCUUGUUACAGAGAACUUGCUUACUGAAUUUUGUAUUAGAGAUAUCUAUGGAUGGCGAUAGCAUUAUAUGAAGUAAUAAUAAAGCCCGCUACCCUUCCCUCAUAAUGAAUGCUCAGCCAAUCAGUAUUGCAUCUCAAAAUAAGUUUUGAAUUCAAUUUGUAAGGUUGUUUGGGUUUAUUUCAUUUAUAGUGUUUAAUCAGGACUGAACGGAAAUGUUUGUGGGCCUUUGCGUUCUUAGAGGAAACAGGGCAGUUGGAAUUUCUUCUUGGGGUUUAAAGAUAGUGUCCAGAUGCUGUCCUCCUUAAUCCAUUUCUAUUACACCAGCAUCACCUCUUUCAGCCCCUGUAAGUACACUUGUUCAGCAUCAGGAGUACACACUUCUCUUUCAGAAAAAUAAAAACAGACACACAUAUGGGAAAUGUAAUCAUGUAUUUUGGUAAGAAUAAAAUAUUAUAUACUUUAGAAAUUAUUGUUUUGUAAACUGUUGGGAUGAGAGGGAAACAAUCUGCCUCAAAACACAUGAAUGUAAAGUAGUGCAGUAUUUUGCGAAAUUUAUAUAUUGAAGAAUCAAUAUUUUACUCAUUCACUUGAGAUAUAAGAUCUGUGCUUGAAAUGUGCUGGUUUUGACCUAUGAGCAAUGGAGAAUUUAAACAGUCUCUUCAGUGCAGUAACAACAAAGCACAUAUUAUAGCAUCUUCCCUAAAAGAGUCACAAGAGACCUAUCUGCGAUCUUUCAGCACGUCAAACACAGUGAUUCUGACUAAUUUCUAGUGUGCUGAAAGGAAAAAUAAAUGUUGUUUAGGUUUCCUAGACAACAGCCUAUGCUUUGAAAGUAAGCUCUGGUAUAUAUUUUAUUCAAAUCUAGCAUACAAUCUGAGAGUAAAAGAACAUGCAUGUCUGGCAUUGUUUGCCUGGGCUGCUUCAGAUAAACAGAAAUACUGCCAGGCAGCAGUAUUACCCAUUUAAUAUCAUUUUGGGGGGAUAGAUAUUUAGACAGUAAUACUUCUCCUUCAUUUACUUAUAGAAAGGCUAAUUAUAUGAUCUUUCUUCAUCUUUCACAAUUAUGUUUCUUAUAUGUUCAUUCUAUUUUUCAAAUGGGCAAAUAUGUACUGUAAAGCAACAAAUGGCAAUGCAUUUCUUUGUAAUUUUUUGUGUAUUCCAUUUUUAACAAAAUAUUAUUUUCCAUCUUUCUCCACACAUAUUCCUCCUUCUGCAUAGCUUAACCUUACUGAUAGAUGUCUGCUAUCCUUAACUGCCAGUUCAAGAGCAAUAGUAAUAUGGAUUAGACUGAAAUUUUUGUAACAGGUCACAGAACAGGAAAUAUUCUCCACAGAAAACAACAAGUAAUUUAAUCAGUGCUUUCCUAUAUGCAAUUGAUGAUAUAUAAAUUAUUGUGAAACAACAUUAAUAUGAUUUCUAUCAUACAUGUUAUCGUAUAGAAGCAUUGUUUUGCGGCGUUGCUUUAAAGACCAAAUGGUUUAUCCAAGUGAGCUGAUUUGCAGAUACAACAUAUUUCAGGUGAAACUCUAGUGAACCAAUUCAAAUUUAAUGGAAUCUUUUGUCCAGUAGUGCUCCUUGCAGAAAGAGGGAAGAAAUAAAAAAAAAAAUUCUGAUUUUUUUUUUUUUUUAAGGCAGACAAUUCCUCUAUGGCAUUUUAUUCCAAAGAAAUAAGUUUUCUACAUGAAUUGUUGAAUUUUAGCAAUAGAAAUUGAUUCUGAUGCUCCAUUUUCUGCCUUUUAAAUAAUGUUAAAGUAGCAUAACAGAACAAAAAACAGCUGUUUUCUAUGAAAGUUAAUGCUUGAAAUCCCCCAAAUUUAUGAUAAUUUUUCUUGAGAUUGGUAUUGCUUGUCUCUACCAGACAAAAUAAAUGUUUUCUUCUUUAUUCAAUCAUUGUUUUUAAAAUCCAUCAUAGACACAACACCAAAGUCUAAAAAUAUUAAUAUAAAAAUAUAUAAAUGUGAAUUAUGCCUCUAUUAAAUUAGAUGAAUUUACCAAAUUAUUUGUCAUUUUAAAUACAGUGUGUGAAUGAAUAUAUGAGCAGUUAUUCUUGUUUAGUAAAUUAAAAUAUGUGACAGUCCAGCGAGUAGUCUGAGUUCAAAGCAGACUUUUUUUGGUUGUCAGACUGCAUUCUGUCAUUUACUUCCAGAAAUAAAAACUUGCAAUACACAUGUAUGGUUGUGACUAUUCUGAUGCAAAAAAAAAUUAAGUAAUUAUGUAUAUAAUUAACAGUUACCUUUUUCAUUGAAAGUCUUGACGUAUAUUUCCAGAGCAGUUGGUUAUCUGUCAGAAUUGGCCAGGAAGCUCCUUUCAGUUGAAAGCUGUUUCAUGUCAAUGUUAACUGCAGCAUAAUUAUUCAUAGGAAAUAAAUUUAAAGUAUUUGUUUUAUGUCACUUUAACCGUAUGUACACUUUAAGAUGAGAAAUGAAUAGGUAAAGUCAGAAUCAGAUAUAUCAUAAAAGUCAUAUCAACAAAGCUGUUAUUAGUAAGUUGUUAGUAUUUUUUUUAGAUGAGGUCUCUUUAAAACACACAUAAAAUGGACUCCUUUCUUCACUCACAGCAACUUUUAGUGAAGUCUAAUUCUACAGCAUUUGGGGGAUAUUUAUAAAAUCAUCUUCAGCCUCUUCAUCAUAAGCCUCUGAAGUGAAGAAAAGUGAGCCUUAGUAAAUUUAGUGGGACUCUGUCCUGGUAUGCUGGUAUUGGGUUUCAUUUACCUGGAGACAGAAUAAGUAGGGUAGGAUGCAGGAUCAGCACCUAAAUGAGAAGAGGAUACAGCCUGUGAAUCAGGGAAUGCAAAGGAUGACAUACUGUCAUUCAGCAGCUUCUUGUGCCCACCCAAUGGCAGGGCAGUUGCCUGACCUGGUAGUACAAAUACCAUGCAUUCCUAUCAAGUUUCCACAUUUCACAGCAGCAUGUCUGAGGCUGGUGUGUGAGAACAGGUCAGCUGCUAACUGCUGAAAGCUGGAAGAUGUACUAGUGAAUAAUCACUGGAUGAAUGCCUGCAUGUAUUCUCCUCCAGAGCACACAAAACUGUUCUGUGUCUGUGGGCUCUAUGGAGGGAGAGGGUUUGUUUUCACUCUCUAAGAGUUGAAAGCUGAAAGCAGUAUUGGAUCUUCUGCCUCCAAAAUGCAGUGCAAAGGUUUUUGUUUUUGUUUUCAGGUAAAAGCCUUUGCAGUAGCGCAGCAUUGGUGUCAUUUUGGCACAACUUAACUUGUGUCAGGUUACAUUUAAAGAACUGUUAGAAGAACUUCAGAAUAUACAUGGUUUAAGCACUGACAUUUGGCCACAGAUGCCACUGUGAGAUCCCAAAUUGCCAUUGCAAAUAGCUAGGGUAUUAAUGGGGAAUUAAAUCUCUUCCCAGUAAAAGCUGGAGACAGCAUCUCCUUUUAUGCUUCCCUGCCCUGUCUGAACUACUUCCCUUUUAUAACAGCUGCAUUUCUGCCAAGUGCUUCAUCCUUGCAGCCAGGAACUAUAAAAGCAAAGUGUCCUUGCCAUUUGGGAGAGAUGUUGACAGGAGGUAGAUGCAAUGAUCCCCUGCAUACUUACAGCAUCAAUUCUUUCCCAGUAGCAUCACAUAUUCAUUAACGACUAACUGCCAAAUGUCAUUCUCUGGAAUGAAGACAGUACUAGAGAGUCUAGUCUGGGUAUCUGUGACAACAAAAUUCAAAUUCUUAUUUCUCUGUAGGAAUCAGCUUAAAACCAACUUUAGUAAUAAACAAAGAAGGUGGACAUAAACUUAACACUGAAUUGAAUUCACACUUUAGAGAUAAACUUCUAUAUAAAGUGCAUGGAAAUGAUGUAAGGUAAAGUACUAUGCUCAGCAGCAAGUUGGACACUGAAUUUAGAGAGAAUAUAAUUUAUUUUCCAAAGGUAGGAGGGCAGCAGGAUUCAAUCUUUGGUCUUGAAAAUUAAGUGAUGCAUUUCAGUUUCAUGAUAAUGGCAGAAAUUAUGUUGAAAUUAGGGUAGGAUAUCUAAGCCUUCCUGCACCUAAGUGAAACAUAUAAUAAUAACAGACUAUCUCCUAACAUUUAGUAGAAAUCAAUGAACUGAAGUGAUCUGGGUUUUCAAACAUUAUAGUGUAGACCUGGUAAGUACCAUCCACAGAAGGAAAGCUGUGCUUUCUCAUUGCUAAACCUGGGCAUGCAAUGUGUAUGUAUUUGUCUGUAAUAUUGGCAAACCAAGCAGAUGGUAAAACAGUGCUCUGCAAGUGUCAGAAUAUGGAGUAUAUAUAGGGACAGUCGAUCUCAAUGCAACGUGCAGAUGGUAAAGCAGCACUUGAGCUCCAAGGUCAUUCUACUUAAAAAAAAUAAUAAUAAUACUGUAAUUUAUACUACUAGUAGACUAUUUUGCAUAGCUAGGAGUAAUGUGAAUAAUUAACAGUUUCCAUGGAAGUCCUUGAAGUCAGCAUUUUAUUUGCUAAGAAUUGUCGUAUAGCACAUGCUAUAGGGGUAUUGCCUGCUAGCUAUGGGGUAGUUCAGAUGUCUCUACAGAGACAGCGAGAACAACAAAAUUACAGUAUCCUCAGACCUCACAAACUGAAAUGAUGAUUGUGCACUGGAAGAAAGGCUGCUCCCUUUUCAAGAAUGUGUGUGGGUUCUCUUUCUAGAUAUAGCUUUGAAAGCUGUCCAAGCUAAAACUCCUUCCUGCUCUUGCUUUUAAUGUAGGCUGUGGCACCUUUUCAUUGAAGAAAGAAACAAAUCCAGAUAGAUAGGUUUUAGAAAUAAAAAUGGCAACCAUUUCACACUGUGUAGAGAAGCUACAUGUUACAAGUUAUCUUGGAAGAAAUGGAGUAGUGGGCAGAGUGCAGGUGGAGUGUUCAUAGCUGCAUGUAUAAUUCACACUCAGUGCUAUGGCUGCUAUAAAAAAAAUUGAUACAUAAACUCUAAGGCAGAUAGAAUUUAUCACAUAUCUCUGCUGUUUGUCACCUGAUUAUCAGUAGUAUGUAUAGACGUGUCUGUAUAGGUUCGUCUUAUUUUCUUUCUAAAUAACAUAAGAUAAAUCUAUAUUAACUCCUGUAAACAGAACUAGAUGAUUUAGUGUAAAAUAUGACUAUGAUUUUUUGGGUCUUUAGCUGGAAAGAACUUCCUUCUCACCAGAACAAAAUGUAUCUGUUCUGACUCCUAUGUUUACUUCUCAUUGGGUGAUCUGUUACAUCAGUGUUUCAUUUUGGUUAGCUCAUUCUGUUGAAAUGUACAACAAUUAAUUUAUCUGUAAUAAAAUAUGUAAAGAUAACAAGAUCUAUUAAUAGUUUUGAUCAUUAUAGCAUCUUAAUUAAAUAUAUUACGCUUCAUUACAAUAGCUAAGACAGACACCAGUUUCUGAGAAGUACAAUAUCAUAGUUUUGUCAUUUGCUUGACAUAGGGUAUUUCUAAAAGAAUGAGGAACGAUUGAGGUAUAUUCUUGCUGUGGUAAAUAAAAAAUUAUCUUUGGGACUUUGAUAUGAUAUUGAAAAAUGACCUGUUAAAGUGGAACAGUAGGAAUUUGAACUACAAUAUAGAAUUGUCAGCUUUCUGAGAGAGACUUUUCCCCUACUUUAAAUUGUAAACACCUACAAAUCCAGUGCAUAGCAGACAUUUUAAUAUGCUUGCCUUGAAGCCUCAAAAGCAAAAUCCUGUGUAUAAAUACUAUGACUUCAAAAAAGCAGGGAGAAAAAUAACCAUUGGUGCUUAUGAAUAUGAAGUCUGCAGAGUAUAAGCAGACUGAAUUUAUAGAAAAAACCUUGAACAAUUCCUACAACAUCAACCCAGCUUCAUUCUGAACUGUUGAGCCAGAAAUAUGAGAAAAUGAAGUGACUGAAGCCUGUCAGAAAAGAAAAACCGCUAGUGGAAUGAUGAUAUGAAUCCACAGAAGGUCGUACUGAAUCCAGUAUCUUCACUACAUUGAUUAAAUACUGUUACUAUUCAGGUGAAUUGAAACCUUCAUGAAGCCAUGGUGAAGUUGUGCACAAUAAAAAGUCAUUUGUCAUUUGCAACUCAGUCGGACUCUGAAGCAGGGAACUGAUUUCUCCUCUUUUUUUUCCCUUCAACUGAGUAAUAUUAGAUGGCUCAUAGAAAGAAAUAUAUAUUGUGUAUAUGACUUCCCAGUACCUUGGUUUAGAGCAAUCAGAUUAGGCAGGACCUGUUAUGAGACUAGGCUUUCCAAAUAUAGCACUACCUUAAUAUUAUAGUUUAUAGCUCGAGUUCAUCCAGUUUGCAUAAAACAGUGCAUAACAGCUGGACUCAUUUAAAGAUGAAUCUGAAGCCUGCAGUUACCACAGGUUACAAUAUGCUCUGCUGUUUCUGGAUCCAAAUUAUGAUAUCUGAAUCUCAUGCUGCUUGUUAUAGAAAAAAAGAUCUUUUUCUUGUCAGAAUGGAUUUCUCACUAAAAUGUAUUCAGUAAUUGAAAAUUAAGGAGUUUAUGUGUGUGUAUGUGAGUUUUCAACUCCAAAUUUAAUUAAAACCUUCAUCAGUUUAAUAUUUCAGUUUGAGGGAAGAUUAAUUGAUCAAAGUCAGAGGCAUUGCCCUCUGCGUACUCCUAUGGCCCAGAUGAUUGCCAAGGAGGAGGUAUUUACAUCAAGAUUUUUCCCUUACUCAGAACUAGUUACUUACUCAGUACCUAGGCUGGGUUGAUCUCCCACAUUUCAGUCACACCUCCUUCACAUGCAGCCAUUCAGUGUUCUGUGCAGAUCUUCUCAAAUUCUUGUGUGGGAGCUGCUCUAUUUUGAAGAAAUUGUUCAGGGAAGUUAUUCCAAAGUUAAAUUUGAUCUGAUCUGCCUUCCUUAAAAUGAACAUUACACUGGUGAGGCUGCACCUUGAGUACUGUGUUCAGUUUUGGGCUCCCCACUACAAGAAAGACAUUUGUGCCCUGGAACAUGUUAAGGGAAGAACAAUGAAGCUGAUGAGGAGUCUGGAGCAGAAGUGUUAUGAGGAGAUGCUGAGGGAACUGGGAUUGUUCAGUCUGGAGAAGAGGAGGCUCAGGGGAGAAUUUAUAGCUUUCUACAAUUACCUGAAGGGAGGUUGUAACAAGGCAGGGAUUGGACUCUUUUCCCACAUAAGUAGCGAUAAGACUAGAGGGAAUGACCUUCAGUUGCAGCAGGGGAGAUUCAGGUUGGACGUUAGGAAAAACUUCUCUGAAAGAGUGGUCAGGUACUGGAAUUGGCUGCCCAGGGAGGCAGUGGAAUCACCAGCCCUGGAGGUGUUCAGGAAACAUUUAGAUGUUGUAUUAACGGACAUGGUUUAGUGGGAAAUACUAGUGGUAGGUGGAUGAUUGGACUGGAUGAUCUUAGAGGUCUUUUACAGCCUUGGUGAUUCUGUGAUUCUGAUUCUAUAUAAUAGACUUUUCAUCAUUAAAAAAAUCUUAUUUUAAUACCACUAUUAAAUAUAUUAUUUAGGAUGAGCUAGGACUUAUAAACAUCAGAUAUGUAAAAAAUGCCCAAACAGCCUAACAGAAUUAUUCCAGUUUUUGAUGCCUGUCAGAAGUUUGACAUUGAUUUAGUGAGAUUCAGCAAAACUUUUUUUUUUUUUUUUUAAUUGCAGUAAUAUUCAGUGGGAACGAAAAUAGUAAGUGUAGAAGACCUAUUCAUAUUCAAGAGUAACACUGGAAACUAUGAAAAUGACAACUUUGAUACAUACAUAAUUCUUCAUACCCGUACAUGAUUUGCUUUAAAAUUAAAAACAGAUUAGGUAUGCAGCUAGGGAGACUCUAUCUCUGACAGGGCAAUUCCUGUAUUCUUAUAACAAUCUGCUAUGUAUUGCAAUAAGUAAUAAUUAAAAAUACUGAAGUUAUUUUUGAAUAAAAAAUAUUGUGAAAGAUUUUCUCCUGAUAGGCUUUACAUAAGUGAUAGAUUUCAAUGUAAUAACCAUAAAAUUAAGACUCUGACUAGACUUAAAAAAAAGUUUUUACUACUUUAUGUAAAAUAAUUCCUGCAGUUUACAGCAAAAGCAAACCACAGCUAUGCUGUCACGAACACAGCAGAACAAACCUCUGCUCUAUCAUUCACAUAUGCAUAGUAGCACAAAUCAAAUAAAGAGCAUUCACGGAUGUUUAAGGCUAAAUUAAUGAUUUCCUCCAAUAAUUAGGUUGACAUUAUUUCAAAUCCAUAGAGUUAAACUAUUCCAGAAUCCUUGUUCUCUAACAUUCAGUUAUAGAACAGUUGUUCCUUGUCUCUCAGAGAAAAAGCAAAAAAAAAAAAAAAAAAAAAGGAAGGAAGAAAAAGUAAAAUAGUGAACCAAAAAAACUUAUACUUUCAGUGAAACAUUUUGGAAGCAUGAUGUACAACAGCAGUAUGUUACAAAGCAUUUUCAUUCUAAUAAAAUCAGCAAAUACCAAAUAAUCUGCUAUGCUGUUGUGUUGCUUCUACUGAAAAGCUUUCAAAAAUCAGUGGAAAAAUCUAUAGUGAUGUUACAAGAUAACCUCCUUUUAGCAGCGAAAGCUCAGCUUUUUCAACGUGCUUUAUCUCCUCUCAUUAUUUUUUUUACAUCACCAUAGAAGAGAUCUGAAACUUGACAAAAAUAUUUUUUGAAAUAUUGGUUGUUUUUUUUUUUUUAAAUUUCAGAAACACUUACUUACUGCACAGGCGACAGAGUACUGGCAUAGGUUGUCCAGAAAGGCUAUGGUGUCACCUCCUUGAAGUUCUUCAGAGGCUGCCUAGACAUGGGCCUGUGCACUCUUCUCUGGGUGGCCCUGUUAGACUGGGGUUUGGACCAGAUAGACCCAGAAGUCCCUGCCAACCUCAACCAUUCUGUGAUUGUGUAAAUGCUUAGAAUAUGAAGACCAUGUUCUGAAUUUGCAGUGAGGAAUUAUAAAAGUUGCUAACUGAGGUUCUAGGUGGUAGAAGAUUUUAUUUCAAAUGACAUUACCUAAGAGCACCAUAUGAUUUGAGUCUCACUCUUCAUAGAAUAAAAUUUUGAGUAAUUCAGCACUCUCUAAUGUAAAUUUCUUCAGUUAAAUAUGGUUAUUUAGAAUCCAUUAAGAUUGAUUAACAAAGCUGUCUCUAAUACUUUGAAGGUUGUAGGGAAACUGUUCUUUUUUACUUAGAGAAACUGUUCUUUUUUACUAUUUGAAAUAGUUUAUAUUACUCCAAUUGAAUUUAUCCACACUUACACAAAGCUUCUUAAGUGUAGUGGAAAAAUAUCAAUCCUACUAAUGCAAAUUUGUAUUUUAGGCAGAAAGCCAGAGCAAAAUGUCUGUUUUAUAUUCAUAAUUUCAAUCUGGUGCACCUGAAUGCAAUUCAGUAAAGGCAAAUUUUUACUUAAAAAACAAAAAUAUUGAUGAAAUAAUAUCCCAAAAUAUCCCAAAAUUUUGCAGGUUUUUUGCAAGAUCUUCAAGAUGAAUAAUAGCCAAAAGGAGAGCCUGAUCAGAUGCUUAGGUCCUCUUCAUUCUUUCUGCAUGAGAUAAACUUGCUUCAUCAAUUCAAGCAACCCAUUACUACAGUGAGUUGUUUACAUGCUAGCAUUAGCUAACAUAUACUAGAUUUCUUAGUCUUCCAGAUAAGCUAGAAUGUCAAGCAUAUAUUUUGGUGGUGCUGUGUAUUUUCCAGCAAUUACCAGUUAACCUUAAUGUGAAAUUCAAGGUGUUGGCACAUAACCCCCAUUGUUUAACAUCUCAUUUCCUUCAAGAUAGCUUUCCCGUCUGUGCAUAGCCAUGUUUCCUAUAUCUAGUUGCCUGUCCCUUGAGUAGUGAAGUCACAUGCUAUUCAUUGUGCUGGGCUAACAUUUCUGGAACUGCUUCUUGCUGGUUAAGUGUGUGACUACUUUGAGCUAUGUUCAAGUUUUCUACUUUGCAUCUCUUGUCAUUUAGAUUCCCUGCAAUUUCUUUUUGGCUCUUUGAUCUUUUCAGGGAGUUAGUUCACUUGCUGCAAGGGAUCACUCUAUCUAAGAGAAAAAUUCUCCUUUUCCCUUUCAUCAUGUUUAAAUCCUGCAUGUUUAAAUCCCAGAUAUCAUGGAAUGGGAGUUUUACAUGUGCUCAUGUCAGUAAUUAUAGUUAAAAUUACUUAGAAUCUAUGCUGCUGUACUAAUUUAGGAGCAAAUACCUCUGUGCAAAGAACAACAAGUCCAUUACAAUACACAUAGUGGGAAAUUUUGUGAGCUUUUUUUCCCAAAUAUGUGAGUAUAUGAUAUGGUUUGUGGCAGUUAAUAUCAGACUUUGAGAGUAAUGUUUCUUUUUAGUAAAAUCACUCCAUCCACUGUUAUAAUACUCAUAACAUUGAAUGUCAUGCCUUUCAGUAGCUUAAGUGAGAGAGAAAUGAGAGAUAAAAACAUUCUGUAUCUUCCAAAUUUGAGCUUUUUAUCACCCAUAAAGCAUUUACUGAUUGUAUAAAUUUUCACAUCUUUGCUUUUAUUUACCUGGUAUAAGGAGGACCAAAACUAUCAGCAAAGACACAUUGUGUCUGGUAUUGACUGCAGCCAUGUGGUUAGUCAAGGAAUAUUGCUGUGGAAUAGACUUAUUUCUCCUUGUGGGUUCUCCCAACUUCAGCUCAUCAGUAUUUUAAGGACUUUCUGAACCAAAAUUUGAAUCCAAUUUAUUUUGCUUAGUAGCCUACAAUGACCCUUUAUUCCAGUCUAUGGUCACUUUCCUAAUGCAUUUAGAAGUCUAGCAUUGAAAGCAUCUAAUAGAAAUAAAUGCCCCAACUGAAAUAGGCGGAGCAUAGAAAGUCCUUCCUUAUUGUUAGUUUUAAAUCAUACGCUUAAUUAUUUCAUUUAGUAACCCUAUUAGGAGAAAUAAUGAAUAAAUAAUUUCUUAUUCACACUUUCAUCACAUUUGUUGCUGCACUGAUAUUUAUAGCCACACCUUCUCCAAGCUGUAGACUGUGAACCUCUCCCUCCACAGUUGUAAAUUCUUGGAUUAUGGAAGCCAUUCUACUUGUUUGAUCUGUCUUAUCCCAUUUUCUGCACCUGUUCAAGUUUUUCAGCUUCAUAUAUUUGAAGAUUAGGUAAGUAAAACUGCAUAUUAUCCAUAGAAUGAUACCAUGGCCUUAAAGCAACAUAGUGACAUUUUGGUUCUCUAUUGCCAUUAUUGCCAUCCCAAUAAUUUCUAGCUUUUUUUUUUUUUUUUUUUUUUUUUUGUCUUUGGAAUAAUUCUGAUUAAGCUCCAAUUUUCAAAACUAUCUCCUAUGAACUCUUUCUAGACUAGAUGGACUGGAAACGUCAUUUUAGAAGCUACCUUCAGGUGCAGUAUUUUGUAUUUUGUAAACACUGAAUUACAUGCUUUUUUGUUGCUCAGCUGCAAUGCCAAGUAACUUCCUAAAUCCAUUCCAAUUCCAAUUUUAACUGGCCUGAAAAAUUUUGUUUUGUAGAAAUCAGGAAAAUUUUGAAGUCUCAGACAUUUGCACCAUACUACAUAUAUUCAUUGUUCAGUUAAUGUAAUCCAAUUCAGGUGAUUUCUUUUCCUUCAGUUUAUUGCAUAUUGAUUUAUUCUAUCACUUUUUAUUCUAAAACCUAUUCUGCUGACUCCAGUCUAUAAUGUUCUAGACUUAUGUCCAAAAUAAAAGAAAAACAUUUCCUCUUAAUGAACAUCUUUAGAAAGAAUUAGUUCAGUUUUACUGCUCUGAGCUGCUCAUACAACACACUCAUCAUCUCUAAACACUGCAAACCUUUUGGCUGAUUGAACUCUUCUAAUGUCAUUUAAAAAAAAUGGUUCUUUCCUGAGUUUAAUACAUUCACAAAGUACGUCCUCAAAAUAUCUUUUUGGUCUGCAUUGUAAUUCUUUUACUUUGAACUUCCCAGAUAUUAUGGUAUCUCUUUUCUUCUGAUCUGGACACAAAUUAGUUUUUGAAAGGCAUGUUUUACUGCUAAUGGCUUCUCUCAUUUCUUUUGGUCUGCUUGAAAUCUUACUGAUGUGUAAUAUCAGUAUUGCUCUGAUAAAUAUACUCCUUUUGAGGCACACAAAGUCACUCAAAUUUACAAAGGUUUUGAGAAAGGACAGACAAGAGUUAGCCACAUCACAGUCCUUGAGUCAAUGUACCACAGCAGCAGCUAAUAUAGUCACACCCAUUGAUUUCUUCUGGAGCUCCCUGCUGUGUUUUGAACACUACCCAUGAUAACUGUACACAUUUUGUUUUUAAGCUUCUCCUUUUCAUUUUGUUUUAGUAAGCAUCCUCACUUUCUCCAUUAGAAAUUAGGUAUUAUUUGGAUUUUACUUUUUAAGUAUAUUUCCUACAAUUAUUCAGAUCUUUAUUUUACUGUGACUAUAGCAACAUGGAUCUUAUAGCCAGUAUGCCGUAAGCCAAAUUCUGUACAGCUAUGCAAUUUAACAUGAAACUGUAAAUAGAUUAUUACAUAUGUGUAUCUAUAAAAUAAAACUAUUGAGAUGUAUAUAAGAAUAAGAAAAAAAAUAAACAAAUUUUUACUUAACAAAGAAAAUAAAUCAAAUACUAAGGAUUGCAUGUUGAAAAUCAGGUGUAAACUCUGCUAAGAUGACAGAACACCCUCAAAGAAAAGCGUUUUUAACAAAAGCAGUUACACUUCAUCUACUGCAGGCAAAAUACUAAAUCCAUCAUAAAUAUAGCUGCUAUUAUUAUGUGGCAGAACAGCGAAAAGCAGAUGGACCUUAUUUGCAAUAAUGUAGCUGGGCUGAAGGUAUUUUUCCACCUCUCUUCCUGUAUUAAUAAUGACAGGUGGUGUUGAAGAUAAUUUUAACCAGAUUAUGAUGAGCUAUAGUUCAAAUUCAAAGACAUUUUUUUUCCAGCUUCUCAUGCUGGUAUAUGACUGAACAUACUUUUAAAUGCAAUUCUUCAAAAACAGCAUUUGAAGAUUUGUGUGUGAGAGAGUUGAUGAGGUGCUUGCCUUUUCUGAAAAGAAUUCUUUGAAAAACUUAAAAAGCAUAUAUUUCAAAAAAAGGUUCCUCUGACUUUCAUGUGAAGAUACCUAUUUUGAUAUGAAAAUGCCUGUAAAUGGAAUUUCCGAAUAGCAGAUUCCCCUCUUAAAAAUAUAUAUAUAAAUAAAAAAUAAAAAAGGAUCACAAACUAGAUGAAGAACAAAAAGAGAAUUCAAAGAGAAUUCUGUGCUUACUUUAGAUCUUGCAAGCUAAUAAGAUAGUGUAUUAAUUACUAACUGAUUGCAAGGUAGUGUUUCUGCUUUUUAAGAAGGAAAGAAGUUUAUAAGUUUACGUGGUACUUGGUUUAACUCAUAGCUCAGUGAGAUACUUUCAAAGCUACCUCAGUCCUUGGAAGAGAAUUUUGGUUUCUUAACUCAUCUUCUUUGAGUUUCACCUUCUGUGCUAUGUGUAUUUAUGCAUAUGAACGUAUGCAGAUAUGUGCAAAUGACUGCAUAUGUUCAAACUUUCAGUAGUUACUUAACAGUCUGUAGGGGGAAAAUAAUGUAAAAUUACUUAGUGCUUAGGCUAUAAUUUAUAAUUUAAGUGAGGAAAGAAAUUAUUUGUGAAAGGGUUAAAAACCAUAAAAACCCUGUUCAUGUGAAUGGAGAUAUCUUUUAAUGAAAUAUCAGAUAGAUAACUUGUGUUUUCUCCUUUGUGAUUGAAAUUUUCAUUUUCUGAAGAAAAAGUCUAUUCUCAAACAUAUGAAAUUGAAGAUACAAAUAAUUUUUUAAAAAAUAUUGUCCAACCCCAGUAUUAUUUUGAAUGACAUCUGAAUUAGCAACCUACAAGAUUUGAAGGAAUGUUAGCUGGAGGUAUUUGAUCAUUUCAAAAGACUUAAUUUUCUUAAAAAAAAAAAACAGUACAAAGAACAGUGGUAAUGGAUCAUAUUUCCAGUCACCGAGUCUGAAUAAUUACAACUUCUGUGAAUGUUUGUUUAUUCUGCUUGUUGAAACUAAAACUUGAUGCACUUAGAUUCUGCCAUCUGAAAUAAUUCUGCAAAAGUUUAUAUCGUUGCAAGUACAUUAAAGUAAUAAUAUGGUACUUUCUUAGACCAUGUUUGAAUUCAUUUUUGUCAUGUUCCUAUCCUGAGAGACAGCUGCUUGCAGAUUCCUGGAGCCUGGGAUUCUUGCUAAGGACAUGGUCUCCUCCUUCCUUCUGUUUGUACAUCAGGUGGUUUCUUUGCUAACUGCUUUGCCCAGUCAAAGUCCCAGCCAUGCUUACAGCAAGCUUACAGUCUAUUUAAAAAUUCAGCUUAAGCCAGAACAUGUUACAUGAGGGGUGAGUUCCCUUCACUUGGGUGAUCCCUUAAGAGGGACUGAAGCAUUGUUUGCCUUUUCCAAUGUGAACUCACUAAGGUCACUCAAAGAUGGUUCAGAAAACAAAGAUGUUUCUCCCAAAUCAAUUCCCUGUCAUAAAAAGGAUCUGCAUGAGACACAGCCUUCCUUUUAAAUACCUUGUUGUGUUUGAAGACUGUGCUCCAAUCCAAUAUUUUAAUUUGUACUUGGUACCAAGUGUUUGGUAGAACCUUGUCACUUGCUGUUAAGUCUCAUCAGCAUGCACAGUGCUGUAGCCCUUUUCAGAUAUUGACUGUUAGUUACUGUACAAAGUAGCAAGGUAAUUAGCAAUAACAGUAGAUAUCUACUGCUAAAAUUGCUAAACUUCUGAGGCAGCAUUUUAACUUAAUAUAUCAGAAUUGGAUCUGUGAUACUGUUAUCUUGGUUCACCCAGAUGUAAUAAAUCUGACUAAUUUAACUAAACAAUAAGUGAAGUUAUGCAGCUACUUUAUUACAGUUUAAAAAGGUAUUUUUCAAUUUAGCGUAAAUUGGAAUCUGUUUAAACUAAACUAAAAUAAACCACUUUUAAACUGGGUUAUAUAUCCACAACGCAACUUAACUAAUUCACUUUUUAAAAAAGAUUAAGUUAAUAAACCUUAAAGCUAUUGUUGGAACAGAACUUCAUUCUUUCUAUAUGAAAAUAGUAAAAGUCAGUUAAACGAGGUUUUAUUACCUUAACUGAAAAAUUGGAAAGGAGUAAUAUUUGACACAUGGUAAUCAGAUUGCAUCUUUGCUUUUCUGAAAUAUACUCAGAUAGAAAGUAAAGGUAUGAAAUAAAAAUUUGGCUUGGAUAGAAGACAGCAGUAAGUGUAAACACUAAAAAAAUGUGUGACAAAAUAUAGAAUCAUAGAAUCACAAGGUUGGAAAGAUCAUCUAGUCCAACCAUCCUCCUAUCACCAUUACUACCGACUAAGCUACUAAACCAUACCUUGUAGCACCUCCAUACCUUGUAGCACCUCAUCCAAACGCCUCUUGAACACUGCCAGGGAUGGUGACUUCACCACCUUCUUGGGCAGGCCGUUCCAGCAUCUGACCACUGUCUUAGAGAAAAAGUUUUCCCUUAUAUCUAAUAUAAAUUUCCCUUGGAGCAACUUGUGGCCAUUUUCUCGGGUCCUAUUUGUUGCCUGGGAGAAGAGCCUGACCCACUCCUCUUCACAGCCUCCCUUUCGGAAGUUGUAAUGUGGUCUCCCCUGAGCCUCCUCUUCUCCAGAAAAAUCACAUAAAACUCUCUGAAAAGUAUGUCCUUGUACCUUUAGGGGAGACAUGAGAUCAAAAUGAACAAACUGUCCUGGUUCAAAGGCUGGAUUAUUUGCUGCAGUGAAGGCAGUGAACUGUAGUGAUUUAUUUAUAUUACAUAAUUGUCUACUGUCUUCUAAUAUACUAUGAAAAAGUGAUACAUUUUGUAUGCAAACCAGAGUACAGGCCAAAAAAGAUUUUUGACAAUAGUAUUUAAGAUAAACUGUUAUUAGUCUUCAAGUAUAUGCUUCAGUUCUAUUGAACUGCCAAGUAAAGAGAGCCUUAAGCAUGGACAUCUUCGAACUGGGACUCUGCAUCAUUAUUAGCUCUACCUAUGUAAGCACACUACCUAUAGUUGAGUGUAACUGAAAAAAGAAAUUACUUGACUUCAGAGUAGCAGAGUACCACAGCAACAUUUGUGUCAGAGUAGCCUGAGGCCUUUCUGUGGUUGAGAGGGGUCUGAAGUGAUGAAGCUCUGCUGCAAAAAAAGAGCACAUACUAAUUUGUACUCUACCAUAUAUCACAGCAUUGGGAAAAUAUUGAAGAUCAGUUUCAUCUGGCUUUGAUAACUUUUGUAGAUCUUAUUUCAGUGACCUCUUUUCCAGCAGAAAGCAGCUCCAUUUCUGUGAGGUUCCUUAACAUCACAUUGGUCAUUGCAAGUGCAUCUAGGCACGUCUCACAAUGCCAAAAAAUGGAAAACUGGACUGGAGACUUUUCACAAAAAUACCAAAGCAUAUCAUAUUUGGAGUCAUGAAGUGCACUAUUAUCAUAUGACUAAGAUUUCUCUUGAAUCCUUCACUUGAAUCCUUGGCUUUGUAACAGCCUGUUGUGAUUUAACCCAGCAGGUGGCUCAGCACCACACAGGUGUUCAAAGACUCCCCACUUCCUGGUGGGAUGGAGGAAAUAAUAAUAAUAAUAAUAAUAAUAAUAAUAAUAAUAAUAAUAAAGUAGACUAAGAUAGAGAAAAGGAAAAGGGUAAUAAUUAUGACAAAUUUGUAUAUAAAUGUAUAUAACAAGUGAUUCACAAACAAUUGCUCACCACCCCUUGAACAAUGCCCAGCUAGUCCCCUGAGCAGCAGAAGAGAGUGAGAUGAAUUCUCACUCCCUUCAAAACUCCUUCUGUGUGAUAUCAUGUGGUAUAGAAUAUCCCUUUGUCCAGUGUAGGUCAACUGUCCUAAUUGUAUUCCCUCUCAGCUCCUUGGGCCCCUCACUAUGAAUGGCCUCAGCUCUGUACAACACUGCUUAGCAGCAGCUAUAAACAUCAAUGUGUUACCAACAUUUUUUUUAUUGUAGAACCAAAACAUAGCAUCAUACCAGACACUAUAGAGAACAGUUCCAUCCUAGAUGAAACUAAGGCACUGUUGAGGUCUGCAGACCUUCUGGAGGCAAAGCACAGUAUUUGCACUAGCAAGUUAUGGAAGAGAAAAUGAUGAACAAUUUCUCUUUAAGAGGAGACUCUCCCUUUCAACAGUGGAGUCUGCUCUUGACAAGGCAUGAAACUGGAAAUUGCAUUUGGACAAUUAGAGAGAAGAAUGUGGAUAUAUGUUAUUGUUGUCCUAUAAGGAUAGUCACUAGUGAGGGAGGCCAUUGUUAAGAACACAAAAACAUUUUGGUUGAAUGGAAUGAGAGAGACGAAAAAUCCAUCUUAGGUAGUUACUACGUUUCCAUAGCAGAAGGCUAACAUAGAAUAUCUAACUGUUUUUAAAAUGUGUGCUUCAUUCAGGAUAAAAUGUUGCCAGAAUCCAGUUAUUUAAAAAUAAAUAAGCAGCAGCUUGAAUGCAGAUAAAGGUACCCAACUCAAUUAGGAAGGAUUUUUUUUUUUUUCCAAAUCUGAAAGCAGGCAUUAUCCUCAUUCGAUAGAAAAACACAGCUGUGCAGUGCUGAGAUACUAAUACAUUCUGCAUUCAGCAGAUUGUAGAGAAAACAGGCAUUCUUAUUUUGGAUAGAAUUCAAACUUUUGGCAGUGUUUUCCAGAUUUUGAGGCCAUUUACAUCACUUCAUUAUAACACACACACAUUGUUCAUACCUUGUUGUGUGCUGAUUAACUGUAAGUAUUUACAUAUUAUUGCUCCAUAGCUUAUUGAGAGGCAUUUCAUUUCAGAAUUUUAAAUAUUUAGUGACCAGGUAUUUAGCUGCCAAAUACAAAUUACCGCAUCUGCUUCUUAGGAGGAAAAAAUCUAGCCAGUGCAGUAAGACAUUCUCCAUACCUAAGCAGUGAAGUGUGUAAAAAAUGUAGUAAGCUAAAUAAAUAUGCAGUGGUUCCUCUGAAACAAAAAACAUACAACAAUAUAUAUUUGAUUUUAAUUAAAAUUAGAAUUUAGAUUCCAGUGUAUUAGUAUGUUAUUGAUAUUUUAUGUUAAAAUACAAAUACAAAUGAAUGGAAACACUAAUCAUUGGAGGAAUGAAGAAAACAAAAAGAGAAUGUCAUUAAAGCUUUUUUAAAUUGUCAUUUUCAUCUUUUUCCAGUGAUUAUUAUUCACAAUUUAGAUUUUUUUUUACUUGGUUUUCAGUGUUUUGUGGUUUUGCUUUUUCUUUGACUUGAUGGAUGACUCUUAGACUCUUUAACAUGUACCUAAACAAUAAUAGCUUGAUUUUCAAAGUUAUAAAACAUCUUCUGCUCUACCUGAUUUUUCAUUAUUUGACCAUACAACGAUUAUUAAAAUGAGUGUAAUGGGAUCAUUAAAAAGAUGAUGCAUCCCUGAGUUAUGUCAGGUAAGGUUUUUCCAGUAGAAAGUGAAAAGUACAAAAUCUAUUUUAGAAGAUAUGUCUCAAUCUUCAGAUAAAGAAUACAGAGUAUAGGUCCUGUGUUUGCAUCCACAUACAAAGAUUUCAAAAGCAUCAAAUGUAAACAGAAGCUAUUGGUAUGAUCAGAGUUCUGCAGAGCUUACUAGAACUGACUGAAAUAGCUUGCUUAUUCAGUGAAAAAAAAAAAGAAAAAAGAAAAAGGGCUCCUGAGAGGUUAUUAUUGUUGUCUGUAUAGGCAACGGGGGCUAAAGACAAGCAAAGAGAAUCUUAGAAGGCAGUGUUUAUGCAAGAAUAAGUUUUCCAUAUGAACAGCUGGGGCAUGGAGCUGAGAAAUAGUUGUUAUGGAAAGUAAAGACUUUACUGAUGAAAUAGGACACAUCUUUAAUUUUUCUGAAAUCUCCAACAAAUGCAGUAUCUGUUUUCCUUGCUUUCUUAAGUCACUCAGUAAUUUUAAAAAGAAGUAACUUGCUGAACUCUGAAUGUCAGGGUAGCUGUAAAUCUAAUUAACAUACAAGUCAAUGCUUCCUCUAGUUCUGCCUACCUGUCUUUCAUGACACUUACCUGUAGCUGUUGACAUUAGUUAUUCCAGUCUGGAUCCUGAUGCUUCUCAGUUAUCGUGUUUGGCCAUAUAACAGGAUUUACAAUUCAAGCAUUUUUCCUGUACCUCUCAACUUACUGUAGAGAUACUCAUCAAUGAGUUUUCCCCACUACCCAAGCCUGUGAUUAAUAGUGUAAUCUCAUCACCACCACUACACAAUGCAACUGUCACUUAUUUUUCUGACCAGCAGCCUGUGUUUCAAUUUACCUGCAGGCUUUUGUUACUGACUACCACUACGGGUCUUUGUUAAAAACCACAAGGUAGCAUGAUACUCUCCAGGUGAAAAUAAUCCUUUUUCAUGACACGAACUCUCUCUCUCUUCCAUCAGUUCACUGAAAUAACUUGGUAUCAGAGAAGUCAAAGCAUUCUUGACGACAUCAUGGUGCAAAUAAUAAUCUCCAUGAACAAUUUGCUCUUCACCAUACAUGCUUUCUAUUCUUGCACUUUGCUACCAAGAAAAAAUAGCCCUAAAUCUCAGAAAAUUAUGCAGGUUAAUCAACAGGUCUUCAAGUCUCCAUUUGUAAUCUAUGUAUAACCAUUUGUAAAGCAUAAUAUGCAGAGAAUAAAUGUAUCAUAUAUGAAGUCAAGUAUAAUGGAAACAUUCAAGGUCAGGCUGAACUGGGCUCCGUACAACCUAAUCUAGCUGUAGAUGUGCCUGUUCAUUUCAGAGGAGAUAGGCUAGAUGACUUUAGAGGUCCCUUCCAGCUCAAAAGAUUAUAUGAUUCUAUGAUAAUGCAGAUGGAUGAUCACUCAGCUCUCCCUUCCCUAGUAUGAGAGAUUUUACCAGUAGUACAUAGGAAGCUUAUGUAUUUCCCUAAUAUGCAACUACUUUCUUCACAGAUAUUCCACUACAAAAACUCUUUAGAAGAUGUUCAGCAACAAAAUAAUUUCAUUUCUGAAUUUCUUAAUCUUCCAGUAUAGUUGAUUUGACAGUAUAAAAGCCAAUCAUAACUAAAUGCCUAUAUUUCAUUAUAGCAUGUAGGUAUGCAUUCUUUAUUCACAGAUUUUGAAAGAGAAUGACUGAUGAAUGAGGUUUCCUAAUCAGGGUUAAUUAUUAAAACUUGAGCUUUUAAUACUUACUUUAUAUCAUGGACUUGUUUCUUUUAUUACUUCAACUUAAAGCAUCAUGGUCAUAAAUAUUUCAUCAGACAAAUACAGAGAGUCUUCAAAUAGCAAAGUAUUCUGUUAGGUCAGAUGUCAGCUAUAGGAAACUAACAUGAGUUGAUAAGACUUUGAAGGAAUAAAGUUUCUAAUGUGAUAUCUUGUUAAAGUGUUGAGGACUAUUUUAUAUUCCUUUUGCUUUUAGAGGUCCAUUUUUUUUAAGCUGCAUUUAAAAAAAAAAAAAAAAAAAAAAAAAAAAGCAUGUUUUAUCAUGGAACUCUUCCAGAUACUUACUUUCGUUCUGCCUGAAUCACUGAGGUAAAGUGAAGAUGAAAGUGUGUGAAUAUAGGAGGAAUUAGUUCUUUAUAAGAAGCAAAUCCUCUCUGAAUUGCAUGUAGAAUCACUAUGGACACUUUUGUUGUCCUAAAUCUUCCAAAAAUAAAUGCAAAAAGUCAUGUUAUAAGCCAUUCAAAACUAGAUUUUUGGAUAAGCUUGAUAAAGGAUCCAUAAGAAAUGCUAUAAAGCAUUUGUGCACUGUGCUGCUUUACCUUUAUAUUAUGAAUUAUUAUUUUUAACAUAUUUUACUGAGUUUUCUUUUGCUUUUCAUUUUCUUUUAUAAUGUAACCUGUUCAAUUUUCUUUAUUUUUCAAAUGCACAAUUAUACAGUCUAAAAAUAGAUGUUGCUGGAUUUGUCUUCUCACCUUCCAUUUUCCACACAUUUGGAAGUUUAUUUUCAUAUUUUCAUAUGUGUUUUUGUCACACAAUCAGAUAGAGAAUCCGGACAGAAACACCUCACUGGUGGUAGAAGUUAUCUGCUCAGUCAAUUGCAAGGCAGUUUGCUUUGAACUCCUGUAAAGUUUCCUACCUCUUCUAUGACAGGUCACUUAGAAUCAUCUUUCUUGAAAAACUGAUUCUUCAUGAGAAAGUCUGAAGUAAGUCUUGUACAUAGUUUCAUAAAAUCUAACAUCUCAUCUAUAAAACUUUAAAUUCCAGUCACCUGACAUUCAUUAGCCUCUUUCAUUAGAAAAGAAGGUGCCCUUCUAAAAUAAAACAAGCAGAAUGCACUAUUGUAAAUUUCAGGCUGUCAAAAAAUGUGACUGUUUCCCUGCUAAGACUUUACCUGAUCUUGAUUAAAUGGUAAUGGCUUCUGAAAAAUGACAUUUCUUAAGUACUACAAAGGAUCUCAUAAUGGCAUCACCAAGCACAGUUAUGAUAAAUGGGCUCAGAAAGUUGUCUUAGUGUAACUGAUAUCAUCCUUACAGGAGUCUUACUUUCAGAUAUUUUAAGUUUUGAAUGCCAGCAAUCACUGAUGUGAACACAAUAUUACAGUAUUGAUUUUGAAUACAGGAAUAGAUAUUCAAAUUAGCUGGUUUACUAUUCCCUUCUCUGUAAAGCAGAGGGCCUCACUUUAGGUUCUGGUAAUUCAUUUGCCUUGUUGUGCUAUUAUUUAUGUGUGCUAGAUUGCCAGACUUAAGAGGAUGCCCAAGUUAGGUUAUGUUUUAUUUUUGUUUUAUUAACUCCAGCCUUGGUCGCUUGUUCACUUACUCUUGCUUAGUGCCAUUGUAGACAUUUCAAUUAUGAGUACUAUCAGGAGUUAUGAAAGAACAAUAAAAAUGAUUGAGGGUCUAGAAGGGACUGAUUUAUGAGGAAUAGGAGAAGUGAUAAAUAAGAAGAGCACCUGUCUAAAUUGUGACUCAAAAGUGACAUGUGAAAUACCUGUGAGUGUUCUAAGGUAAAUGCGAGAGGAUUCAUGUAAAGUGGUUCAAAGUAACCAGAAAUGACUGAAUAAAACUAAGUAAAGGAAAGAUUAUGCAUACUCUUCUUUAUAGCCAUAUAUAUCUCCCAGGGGCACUUAAAUAAGUGCUGCAAUUUAACUGAAUCAAGCACAUCAUCAAACUACUUUAAGAAACGAAUCAUUAAUAGUUUAAGAGUUGUUUUUGUGUGAGUAUCUCAAAGUGCUAUACAUCUGGUGCUUAACACCUUAUGAUAUCUUUUGUGUCAGGUGAAGAAUGAAUGCUAGUGAGUAAAGCCAGUCUAGACAUGGAUGUUUGCAAAUUUUACAAAAUCUUCAUCUUAAGAAACUUUAGUUUGAAUCACAAAAUUAGGACAAAAACAAAAAACAGAACAAAACAAAACAAAAAAACACUUCUCCUAGCAGCCUGUCUAAAGUACUCAGAAAGUCUUGGUGAUUUGACACUGCUGUCUCCUAAAGGAAAAUGAGUCACUCUUAUACCAAUCACUCAUAUAUAAAGCUAACAAGUAUGAAAUCUGGGGGUUUCAGUAUUCCUAUUUUUAGAUAAUUAAGCUAUUCUGCUCCUGAGAAAAUUCUUCUGUGUGAACUGCCGCAAGGUAGUACGACUAAUUCUGUUUGUGAUGCUGGCAAUCCUUUGGAUGCUUGUCUGAAUGGAGGUAGAGAAUGUAACUUCCAUAACCUGGUGAGUACGUAGAUACUGGCCGUGAUGAUUGUUCCACAUAGAUACUCCAAUAUUGUGUAAAAGGAACCUGAAGAACUAAAACAUUUCAUUCAUCCCCAGUAACGUUUUAUUUCGUGUUCUUUUCACAAUUUUGUAUUCAUUUUGAUCUGCAACUUUUUUUCAGUAUGUCAGUUCAGCUUUGAAAACAAAAAAAGUCUGUCAGACAGUUGCCAAUCAAAAGUGAGAGUAUUGCCUUUCCCUUGUAAGUCCCAAAUGCCGUUUUACCUGCAAAGCUGUAUGACCUAGAUAUAUUCGUAGCACUAAGAUUAAAUGAGAAAGCCAGCUGUCAAGUAUCUCACAAUAAUACCAGUGAGACAGAGAAAAGGGGAACUUUGAAUCUCUGUGAAGUUGCUCUUUUCAGAAGAUCCAACACACUUUUAUUUUUGUAAUGCAGAGUUAUAAAGAAUAGUUACAGUGUGUUUCCUCUGCUCUAUUAUUUUAUAGCUUUAUUUUCCUAUUAGAAGAGCCUGCUGAGUUUGUAAUGUUCAAGAAAAUGUAUUUUCAUUGUAGCACCUAAAGAAGAUGCAGUUCUUAGGAGAUGACAAAGAGGUUUAUGAUGCUGAUUCUGAAACAGUAUGUGGAACAGAAUGCAGAAUCACAGUAUAGUUGAUUUUGGAAAGAACCUCUGGUAGUCAUCUGGACCAACCUGUUGCUUAAACACGGACACCUAGAUCCAUUUGCCCAGGACCACGUGUAGAUUUUUCAAAAAUUGUCAAGGAGGGAGACUCUGCAGCCUCUCUGAGUAAACUAUGCCAGUGCUCAGUCACCCUCUUGUAAAUAAAGCACAUAUAAUAUAAAAAUAUUAAAAAUAAUUAUUUUUUUCCUUGUAUUCAGACAGAACCUCCUACGUUUCAGUUUGUGCUCAUCACCUCUUGCCUUGGCACUGGGCACCACUGUAAAGAGCUCUGUCCUCUUUGCAUUGUCUCAUCAGAUAUUCAUAUAUAUUGGUAAGAUGCCCCAUGAGACUUCUCCAUGCUAGACUGUCCUGGCUCUCUCAGCCUUUUCUCAAAAGUCAGGUGCUUCAGUAUCAUCAUCAUCAUCACUGUCAUUUUCUGCACUCUCCCUAGUAUGUUCAUGUUUGUCUUGUAUAGGUAUAAUCAGAACUGGACAGAGCACUCCAGUUGUGGGCUUAUGAGUGCUGAGCAGAGAGGAAGGAUCACCUACCUAUCUUUACUUGCUGGGAGCGUUCUGCCUAAUGCAGCCCAGGAUAUCAUUAACCUUCUUUGCUAUAAGGAUAUAUUGUUGACACAUUUUCGACUUGGUGUCCACUGUGAUUCCCAGAUAUUUUUAUGCUAACCUUUUUUUCCAAAUGGUCAGCCUCCAGCAUGUACAGGAAGUUGUCCUUCCUCAUGUGUAGGAAUUUGUUUAACCAUGAUGAGAUCAGGAUAACAAUGUUCAAAUUUAAGGGAAAGUCAUUUGUUUCCCCAUCAUUCUUUUUGCAAACAUCUUCACAAUUCACAAAUUCAGUUUGUUCAUGCACUAUUAGCAAAGAUGUCCUAUAUCGAUAGUAGGCCUACUAGCAUAUAUUACCAUAUAAUCACUCACAUGCUGCCCUGGAUUUUGCCUCUGCCAAGUGUAUCUGGACAAGACCCAGUCAAGAUGUGUGUGUCGGUCAGGAAUCAGUGUGUUUGAUUUUUGGCUUCUUCAAGGAAAGCUGAUAUGCAAAGGUACUUUGAUUCUUAGUAUAAAAGGACUAAUAACUUUCUCUAUGUCUGCUAAUUUAAUCUCUUGCCAAACGUACUCUCUAUUAGCUUUUAUAUUUUUUCUACUUUUACAUCGUACUUCUUGCAAGAACUAGGAUUCUUAUUGCAAUAAUUAAUUCUCUCCAAUAGUAGCAGUGAAACAAUUUUUAGGAGAAUAAUGUUCUUUUUCCUCAUCAUCCAAUCCUACCAUCUUUUUUGGACUUGGAGUGCCUUAUAUAUCAGGAUUAAUUACAGCACCAGUAAUAUGUUAGUAUUUUCUCUCUAGAAUACAGCAGCAAAUGUAGAGGUUGCACCAUAUAUCAUCCAUGUUCAUAGAUGAGUAUAACUAAUACUAAUGCAGUGUACAUGAAAAAGAAAUCUAUCCUGUGGUACUAUGCAUGAGUCACAGAUUCCAUAGUAUUAUAUUUAGAAUAAUAAUAGGACAAGAAAUAACAGACAUUAGAAUAACUCACAAAAUUUAAUGAGGUCAUUAAAUGUUCCCAGGUUGUGUCAAGCUACAGUCCAGUGUUAUAUACGCAUGGUCCUUUUUCUUCUUUUUUCUUUUCCUUUUUUCUUCUAUUAAAAAACCAUGUGCAAUGGAAAUAUAAAUUGCCAUUAAAUUAGAGCAUAACCUUAACGAGGCAAUAUGAGGUAUCUGCAGUUUUGUUCCAUAUUUUCUGCAUAUUAUAGGAAUCAGUGCAAUGAAAGUAAACCACUCCAAUAUAGAUUGUCUUAUAAGUGAGUAAGCCUUAUGGUAAAACUGUUGCUGAUAAAGGCAGCUUAGGAAGGCUAAGACCUGAUACUCAUACAAAAAGGUUGGUGACUAACCUUUUAAAAAGGUCAGGAAUCAGCAAAGAUGCAUUGCUUCCUCAAUCUGCUUGGAAGAGAAGUUAUGACACGCUAAACACCAAAGGAAUGCUUCUCAAAAUGGUAGCAUCAGAGAGGACAUUUUGACCAGUCUCUGAUAUACUUCUGGAAAAGGGAAUAAAUGUUCUAGCAACUUAAAUAAAUAAUACAGUGAUGGAGUAACUGUGAAGAAAUUUUUGGUUUUCCAAAAACUGCAGUGAAGUGUUCUUUCAGCUUGAAUUUUACCUGUCUGUAAUGCGCGGGAUGAGCAAAUGCUGCCAAAUCCUGGUAUUUUGAACUAUUAGUCAAAUUCUGAAUUAAAAGAAAACCUAGGAGAACUACAAACAAUCCACUAUAAAAGAAAAGGCUCCAUAAAUGUUAAUGUCUUCAUUCUUUUGUACAUUCCAUAAAUUUGAGGUGAGGAUUUUUCAAGAGAGAACCUGUUACCAUAAAAGACAUAGUUAUUUCAGCAUAUAAUAUCUCCUCACUUGUCUGUGUUUGCUUUUAUUUGUUUUUCUGAGAUCUCCUUAUUCUUUCAAUAUCUUAACCAUACAUACAGGGCAACAUAAAUUAAUUGUCCAAAUAUUUCAGUUGUAGAUGGCAUUCUUUACUUCUCUAGUACUGAAUCUGUAUGCUAGCCCUGAGUUAGCAGAUAUUAAUGGUGAUUAUCUAACACUGUAGAAUUAUAGAACAAACUGCUUUAAAACCAUACAAGAAUGCUAAGCAGAGCUAGCAAAUGACCCACAGGAAAAGAAAGGAAAGAUUAUUUGUGAGGGACCUUCUAUUUUCUCCAUUAAUUGUUCACCAGCAUAAAUCUUAAAAAGUCACCUUUGUCAGCUGUUCUUGACAUUGGACAUGCGGUUAAUUUGAAGAUCUUUAUUUAGGAUGCUCUGCACUUUGCACAGUAUAGUUAAUACAAAUAAGCUGAUUUUAUCAUAAAGCGGAAAAUGAAAUGCAUUUGCAUUAAGAAAAGUACUUUGCUGAUACUUAUUGAGAAAGAGGACUUUGGACUUAUGCCAGCAUGUUGGGGAAUUAAUUUUGUUGGUCAAAAGCUAUGAUGCUGUCUAAGAUUCUCAACUUCUAUAUAGUGCUGGUGAGUUUUUAUCCCCCACAGAGAUAGCAAAUGGGUUGCUAGGAAACACGAGUAUAACAACGAAUAAUGGCAUCUUGUCUAUGAAAACAAUAUGUGUGCCAAAAGCUUUGUUACUUAAUGAGCUACAUACUUGCUCUAGAAUGCCUUUUUCCUUUGUUUGUGGUGGGUGAACAGGAGCAUUCUGUCUCUGCACAGAAAUAUUUUAAUUCUGAUCACUACUGUAAUAUGUUAGAGUGUACCUAAAUCUAACUCCAAAGUACAGACUUCCCUGAGACUUCUUGGGAUUAUUUCAUUACCAGAAACACACAAGAUGUAUCAGUGAAAGCAUCAAGGGACACUACCUUGUCUUGCCUCAGUCUGGGGGCAGUGAGGGGGAAUUCUUUGUGUUUAACUUUUAAGAGAACCGCAGCUCUGAUUCUCUUUUCAUUAGCCCUGAAGACUAGGUCUGUGCAAAGUUUGGAGCUCUCUGUUCAUGAAUGCAGCCUUCUCCAUAUGAAUACACAUGAAGGAGCAUUGGAAGUACUCUUGUGCCUUCCCCACUUUGAAAUACAAUAAGAGAGAGCAUUCAGACAACUCCACUAACAAGAAGACCCUAGAUGAUAGGGUCUUUUAGACACUGCCCCUGCGUUAUCACUAUAUCUGCAUAGCAUUUAGAGAAGGUUUCUGUGCAAGCAGGAACCUAUGUGGAGGUGGUGAAUACACUAAUGUACCUCUCUUAAUCCAGUGACAUUUUGCACCAGACCAUAGUUUUACUGUGAUCUUACUUAUCCAUAUCACCUGUAACUUUAGGCAGGCAUUGUCAAGGUGACAAACGCAUUGUAACUUUCUUGUGAAACUUUUUAUAGAAACAUCCUGUCCUUUGUUUAAGUGCUAUUGGUUUUAUUGAUGUUGAUAUAAUAGUCUUAUGAGUUAAAAAUAACGUGUCAAAGGGAAGAACAAAACUAAUCUUUUGGUUUUCAGUCUGUUUACCAGAUUCUUCACAAUCGGCAUCUGAAAUCAUAGACAUUCAGGAUAUUGAAUAGGGGUUCCAAGUGUGAAGGUGAAUAACAUUUUUGAGUUUUAAGUAUCAUUUCAGAGGGAAAUUUAUUUCUCAAAAUUUCAGUCAAAAGUACUCACUUUACUUAUCAAAUUUUGCUUUCUUGAGACUGGAAGUUCCUGUCAAACUUGAAUUACAAACUACUGUUUUUCUGGAAUUAUACUGGCAUUAAACGUAUGGUUUGGACAGGAAUGGCUCCUUCUAGAAAAAGUAUUUAUAUAGCCAAAAAGAUUAAUCUGAAACAGAGUGAUAAUGGAGAAGUACCCCAGUCCUAAGGCAUCUCAGAACAGGUAAAUAUGAGAUUUGGAGAGACUGCCAUGUAUACACCAAAACUUUCAGAAUUUAAAACUAUGGCAGUAAUGAGAACUGCAAUUUUAUUGUUAUGAAAGCAAUUGCAGAACAGAGAUUUGAUUAAGGAAGUAAAUGCAACCACUGUGGUUAGAAGAGAGGAAUCUAGAAAAGUGAAAAUGUACUUGUGAAACAUUAGGGUGUUACAUCUGUCAAAAUCAAUCAUCUUGUGAAAGUUAAGCAGUUUAUAUCAAACCACCCACAUACAUACAAUGUAAGCUAUACUAUUAUUCAUAUUUCAUAUUUCAAUGCAAUUGGUCUAAAUAUAAAGAUAAUAAUCAAUAUUGUAAAUGUGCUUAAAGUUCACUAAUUCACAAGGGAAUAUGAAUUUGUCCAACUCUGCCUGACAGAGUUUGAAAAAAACAGAAAUAAUCAGAGAUUCUUGGUUCAUAAA